GACGAACGCUGGCGGCGUGCUUAACACAUGCAAGUCGAACGGAAAGGCCCUGCUUUUGUGGGGUGCUCGAGUGGCGAACGGGUGAGUAACACGUGAGUAACCUGCCCUUGACUUUGGGAUAACUUCAGGAAACUGGGGCUAAUACCGGAUAGGAGCUCCUGCUGCAUGGUGGGGGUUGGAAAGUUUCGGCGUUUGGGGAUGUACUCGCGGCUUAUCAGCUUGUUUGUGGGGUAGUGGCUUACCAAGGCUUUGACGGGUAGCCUGCAUGAGAGGGUGACCGGCCACAUUGGGACUGAGAUACGGCCCAGAAUCCAACGGGAGGCAGCAGUGGGGAAUAUUGCACAAUGGGCGGAAGCCUGAUGCAGAAACGCCGCGUGCGGGAUGACGGCCUUCGGGUUGUAAACCGAUUUGGCAUGUGACGAAGCGUGAGUGACGGUAAUGGGUAAAGAAGCACCGGCUAACUACGUG
rnacentral:rRNA from 1 species